rnacentral:lncRNA from 1 species
GUGAACUUAAUACAGAUUGACAACUGAUGUGUUGACUUAUAAAAGAGGAAAAAGCAUGCAUACACAUGUGAAAGACACAGAGUGUGUGUGUGUAUUGUGUGUGUUUGUAAGUGUGUAUAUGUGUGUAUGUGUAUGAGUGUUGUGUGCAUAUGGAUGCACACACAUAUGUGUGUGUGUGAGUUUGUGAAUGUGUUUGUGUGCAUAUGUGUUUGUAUGCAUUUCUGCAUGUUUAUGAGGGCCUGAGUGAGUUUGUGUGUAUGGUAUGUGUAUAUGGUAUGUAUGUAUGCAUGUGUGAGUGUGUUUUGUAUGUGGGAAGAGUGUAUGAAUGUUCAUAUGUGAGUGUGUGUGCAUGUAUGUAUGUGUGUGAGUGUAUGUCAGAGUGUGUGUGUGUGUGUGUUGUGUUUACCAGCUUCAGCUGCCUUCACUCACAGGCACAUACCUGUUAGAACAUAAUUGCAAAUUUGCUCUUUUUCCCACUUACUUUUGCUGCCGAGCUCCUCUAGAAAUCACAACUAGCUACAAUUUAAGGAAUGUCGCUUAAGGGAAAUUCAGACAACUACUUUCUUCUGUGCUUAUUGCAUUGGGAGCUAUUUGUAUCUUUAAAUCACCUGGUAUGGAAAACAAACCACCUUCAUGUUUUAAAGUGUACCCUUGCCAGACCUGUGAGAAUGGCUUCUGCCAGAAAUAACUCCCCAAAAGCAAUUUCCACCAUCACAGGUGCUUGAGAAAUCCAAGAAAUGUGCAAUUUUGAUAAAUUGUGGACAAGUGUCCACAAGCAGUAGCCACUGAGUUUGCAUCCUGAUCCUUUGUGAGCUCUGCUACUCUUGCCAGUGCUUUCUGUGCUAAGACAUCUAAGCAGAAGAGAAACCCUGUCUC